rnacentral:rRNA from 1 species
UACGAAGGGGGCUAGCGUUGCUCGGAAUCACUGGGCGUAAAGGGUGCGUAGGCGGGUCUUUAAGUCAGGGGUGAAAUCCUGGAGCUCAACUCCAGAACUGCCUUUGAUACUGAAGAUCUUGAGUUCGGGAGAGGUGAGUGGAACUGCGAGUGUAGAGGUGAAAUUCGUAGAUAUUCGCAAGAACACCAGUGGCGAAGGGCGGCUCACUGGCCCGAUACUGACGCUGAGGCACGAAAAGCGUGGGGGAGCAAACAGG